CCUACGGGAGGCAGCAGUAGGGAAUUUUCGUCAAUGGGCGCAAGCCUGAACGAGCAAUGCCGCGUGAACGAGGAAGGUCUUCGGAUCGUAAAGUUCUGUUGAAGGGGAAAAAGAGCGGAGAGAGGAAAUGGUCUCCGAUUGAUAUUACCCUUCGAGGAAGUCACGGCUAACUACGUGCCAGCAGCCGCGGUAAUACGUAGGGGGCGAGCGUUAUCCGGAUUCACUGGGUGUAAAGGGAGCGUAGACGGCCAAGCAAGCCAGGGGUGAAAGCCCGGGGCCCAACCCCGGGACUGCCCUUGGAACUGCAGGGCUGGAGUGCGGGAGGGGCAGGCGGAAUUCCUGGUGUAGCGGUGAAAUGCGUAGAUAUCAGGAGGAACACCGGCGGCGAAGGCGGCCUGCUGGACCGCGACUGACGUUGAGGCUCGAAAGCGUGGGGAGCGAACAGGAUUAGAUACCCCAGUAGUC
rnacentral:rRNA from 1 species